UGGGGAAUAUUGCGCAAUGGGGGAAACCCUGACGCAGCAACGCCGCGUGAGCGAUGAAGGUUUUCGGAUCGUAAAGCUCUGUCUUUGGGGAAGAUAAUGACGGUACCCAAGGAGGAAGCUCCGGCUAACUACGUGCCAGCAGCCGCGGUAAUACGUAGGGAGCAAGCGUUGUCCGGAUUCACUGGGCGUAAAGAGCACGUAGGCGGUUAAUUAAGUCAGGUGUGAAAGUUUUCGGCUCAACCGGAAAAGUGCACUUGAAACUGGAUAACUUGAGUAUCGGAGAGGUAAGCGGAAUUCCUAGUGUAGCGGUGAAAUGCGUAGAGAUUAGGAAGAACACCGGUGGCGAAGGCGGCUUACUGGACGAUAACUGACGCUGAGGUGCGAAAGCGUGGGGAGCGAACAGG
rnacentral:rRNA from 1 species